UACGUAGGGUGCGAGCGUUGUCCGGAACUAUUGGGCGUAAAGGGCUCGUAGGCGGUUUGUCGCGUCGACUGUGAAAACCUACAGCUUAACUGUGGGCUUGCAGUCGAUACGGGCAGACUUGAGUUCGGUAGGGGAGACUGGAAUUCCUGGUGUAGCGGUGGAAUGCGCAGAUAUCAGGAGGAACACCGGUGGCGAAGGCGGGUCUCUGGGCAGUAACUGACGCUGAGGAGCGAAAGCGUGGGGAGCGAACAGG
rnacentral:rRNA from 1 species